rnacentral:rRNA from 1 species
UCGGGAAUUUUGCGCAAUGGAGGAAACUCUGACGCAGUGACGCCGCGUGCAGGAAGAAGGUUUUCGGAUUGUAAACUGCUUUAGACAGGGAAGAAAAAGGACAGUACCUGUAGAAUAAGCUCCGGCUAACUACGUGCCAGCAGCCGCGGUAAUACGUAGGGAGCAAGCGUUAUCCGGAUUUAUUGGGUUUAAAGGGUGCGCAGGCGGGCGUCUAAGUCAGCGGUGAAAGUUCCCGGCUCAACCGGGUCAGUGCCGAUGAUACUGGGGGCCUUGAAUGCGGUCGAGGCCGGCGGAAUGUGGCGUGUAGCGGUGAAAUGCAUAGAUAUGCCACAGAACACCGAUAGCGAAGGCAGCUGGCCGGGCCUGCAUUGACGCUGAGGCACGAAAGCGUGGGGAUCGAACAGGAUUAGAUACCCUGGUAGU